UUCAUUUGUUGUUCUUUCAGUAAUUCAGCCUUACCUGAAGACCAAGUUCAUCUGUGUCACCCCGCAGGAGCACAUGCAAAGUACUUCUCUCAGUUCUCUGUACAGCAUGGAUCAGGGAUGUAGCCACUACUGAAUCUGCCAAGGACCCUUCACAGCAUCCUUUAAACCACAAUCUUGCACGAGAAGAGAGAAAGAGAGAGAAACCAUGUUUAAAAAAAAAAAAAAA